UCACAUUUAUAAUAAUUUUAAAAAGUUAUAAAUCAGAACUGUGCCGCCUGGAGUUUAGCACAAACACGGGGCUCCAACUGGGGCUUUGCCAUUGCCAAGGAAAGCGGAGAAACCAACUGUUUGGUUUCACACAUGACGCUGGUGAGGCUGCAGCCAAGGGCAGCAUUUGUGUAUGAGUGUGACCAUUGAGACCAAUGCCCGGGAACCUGAUCGUCACUCACGCCCACGUCCUUUCCAUACUGUUCCCAGUCUGGUUAAGAUGCUGCUCGAAAGAUGCAUUUUUUUCUCUCAGCAGAGAGAAGUCUGAAUCUAAUUGGGUCCUUUGCUAGCUACACCAUGCAUUUGCACCAAUAUUUAUCCCAUCUGUUCCGAGAGUCUGCUCCCCAUUACUUACCAAAACUGUCAAUGGCUCCCCAUUAUUUACAGAUUCUUUGGCCUGGCAUGCAGGGGCUUGUGAGGUCUGCUCCCAGCCUACCUUCCCAGCCACCUCUCCUUUCAGCUCCUUUCAGGAAAUCUUGUUGCCUCUUCCCUCAAAAUACAUCCAGAACUUGUCCUCUUUUAUCACCUCCACCGCCCUGACCUUGGCCCAAGCCUCUAUUAUCCACAAUAAUUGAGAUGCUCUCAAGCUGGGCCAGUGGCCAACUGCAGAACGGAGAGUGGCCGAGCAGGGAAGGUCAUAGAAGGCACAGGAUGGGGAAGGACACUGGAGACCAGGUUCCUGUAGGGUAAGUUGUAAUCACUGGAACCACUGAGCCUGGAGAAGGUGAGAUCUUUCCGAAGGGAACGGAAAGUGGAGUCAGUUGGAUCUGGGAUAUCUGGGUCUUCCCGGCCACGUGGCCUUGGGCAAGUCAUGUGAGUUCUCUGGGCAUGUAAAAUGAAGAUGAAAAUAUGCAUUUUGCAAGGCUAUCAUAAAUAUUAGUAGUAAUAAUAACAGGCAGAUACUGAGUGCUUAUCAUAUCUUAGAUACUAUUCCAGGUGCUAAGUCUGUACUAACUCAUCUAAACCUCACAACAUCCCCGAGUCCGAUGUCAUCCCUAUCCCCAUUUUACUGAUGAGAAAAUGUAGGUAAAAAGAGGUUCAAUAACUUGCUCAAGGUCAUAUGGCUACAACAUGUUAGAACCAGACUUGGCACUUAGGCCUCUGGCCCCAGAACCUAUAUAUUUAACCUCUCUGCAGGCCAUAUUAAUGUCCUGUGGCUAUUGUAACAAAUUACCACAAGCUUCGUGGCUUAAAACAACACAGAUUUAUAAGCUUACAAUUCUGGAGAUUAGAAGUCCUAAAUCUAAGGUGCUAGCAGGGCUGCAUUCCUUUUGGAGACUCCAGGGAGAAUCUGUUUCCUUGUCUUUUCCAGCUUCCAGAGACCACCUGCAUUUGUUGGUUGAUAGCCUCUUCCUCGAAUCACCCUGAUCCUCUGCUUCUGUGGCCACAUUUUCAUCUCUCCAAAUCUGAGUCUUCUGCCUGUCUCCUCUAGGGACCCUUGAGAUGACUUUGGGCCCAUCCAGAUCAUCCAAGAUAAUCUCCCCUUCUCAAGUUUCUUAAUCACUUCGGCAAGGUCUUUUUUGCCACAUAAAGUAAUAUUUGCACUGGGUUCAGGAAUCAGGAUGUGGGCAUCUUUGUGGGGGGAGUCACUAUUCCACCUACCACACAGAGCCCCUUCAACAAGUGAGAUUAGAUGAGAAAAUGUUGGUGAAGCACUGAGCCCAGAGAUAGAGCAUAGUAGGUGUGGAUGCUGGUGAUAGUGAAGGGGUGAAUGGCUGACAAAGACCAGGUGACUAAUUUCACAGCUGCCAGAAAUCAGCCUCCAGGGACACACAAGGAGCUUUGCCACACGCUGAAUCAGAUAAGGCCUCUGACUUUGUUUUGCCCCAGAAGCAGACCUCAAGAAGAGGACUCCAGUGCAAGUAGUUUAUUUAGAAGGCAAGCCCACAAAAAGUGGGAAAGCGAGACAGGCAAGGCAAGGCAAGGAAACCAAUGGAGAAUGCCAUGAAGCUAGUUACCACCAUAGGCAGGUGGAGCUUAAUCCCACUGGGGAAUUGUGGAAAACAGUGUGGAGCUCUGCACCUCAGAGUUAACCUACCUGAGAGGUGACAGGGCUGGGGUAUGGAUGCACCAAUUCCCUUCAGUCUGUUGCAAGUUGUUCCAGGGAGGGGGAGAGUGGAGUUAAUUCACCUACACACCCAUCUGCACACACAUAUAUAAAGCAGGCUCUGCUAUUUACAAUAGCAAAGACUUGGAACCAACCCAAAUGCCCAUCAAUGA
rnacentral:lncRNA from 1 species